AUGAUUAUUCGUUCGCCGGAACCAGAAGUAAAAAUUGUUGUGGAUAGGGAUCCUGUAAAAACAUCUUUUGAGGAAUGGGACAGACCCGGCCAUUUCUCAAGAACACUAUCUAAGGGCCCUGAUACUACCUCUUGGAUCUGGAACCUACAUGCUGAUGCUCACGAUUUUGAUAGUCAUACUGGGGAUUUGGAGAAGACCAAUUGGGGUAUUGGCCAUGAACUUAAAGAUAUUUUGGAGGCUCACAAGGGCCCAUUUACAAGACAAGGCCAUAAGGGUUUUCACAGUUUUGGCUUGUACAUUCAUAAUGAUACCAUGAGUGCUUUAGGCCAUCCACAAGAUAUGUUUUCGGAUACUGCCAUACAAUUACAACCUAUCUUUGCUCAAUGGGUACAAAAUAUCCAUGCUACUGCACCUGGCGUAACAGCUCAUGGUGCAACAACAAGUACUAGCUUAACGUGGGGAGGCGGCGAGUUAGUAGCAGUAGGUGGCAAAGUGGCUUUGUUACCUAUUCCAUUAGGAACCGCAGAUUUUUUAGUCAACACAUUCAUGCAUUUACCAUACAUGUGA
rnacentral:rRNA from 1 species